rnacentral:rRNA from 1 species
UAUUGGCCAAUGGGCCCAAGCCUGAUCCAGCCAUGCCGCGUGAGUGAUGAAGGCCCUAGGGUUGUAAAGCUCUUUUGUGCGGGAAGAUAAUGACGGUACCGCAAGAAUAAGCCCCGGCUAACUUCGUGCCAGCAGCCGCGGUAAUACGAAGGGGGCUAGCGUUGCUCGGAAUCACUGGGCGUAAAGGGUGCGUAGGCGGGUCUUUAAGUCAGGGGUGAAAUCCUGGAGCUCAACUCCAGAACUGCCUUUGAUACUGAAGAUCUUGAGUUCGGGAGAGGUGAGUGGAACUGCGAGUGUAGAGGUGAGAUUCGUAGAUAUUCGCAAGAACACCAGUGGCGAAGGCGGCUCACGGCCCGAUACUGACGCUCAGGCACGAAG